UUGCACGCUGGCGGCAGGCCUCACCCCUGCAAGUCGCGCGGAUGAAGGGAGCUUGCUCCUGGAUUCAGCGGCGGACGGGUGAGUAAUGCCUAGGAAUCUGCCUGGUAGUGGGGGAUAACGUCCGGAAACGGGCGCUAAUACCGCAUACGUCCUGAGGGAGAAAGUGGGGGAUCUUCGGACCUCACGCUAUCAGAUGAGCCUAGGUCGGAUUAGCUAGUUGGUGGGGUAAAGGCCUACCAAGGCGACGAUCCGUAACUGGUCUGAGAGGAUGAUCAGUCACACUGGAACUGAGACACGGUCCAGACUCCUACGGGAGGCAGCAGUGGGGAAUAUUGGACAAUGGGCGAAAGCCUGAUCCAGCCAUGCCGCGUGUGUGAAGAAGGUCUUCGGAUUGUAAAGCACUUUAAGUUGGGAGGAAGGGCAGUAAGUUAAUACCUUGCUAUUUUGACGUUACCAACAGAAUAAGCACCGGCUAACUUCGUG
rnacentral:rRNA from 1 species